GACGAACGCUGGCGGCGUGCUUAACACAUGCAAGUCGAACGGAAAGGCCCUGCUUUUGUGGGGUGCUCGAGUGGCGAACGGGUGAGUAACACGUGAGUAACCUGCCCUUGACUUUGGGAUAACUUCAGGAAACUGGGGCUAAUACCGGAUAGGAGCUCCUGCUGCAUGGUGGGGGUUGGAAAGUUUCGGCGGUUGGGGAUGGACUCGCGGCUUAUCAGCUUGUUGGUGGGGUAGUGGCUUACCAAGGCUUUGACGGGUCGCCGGCCCGAGAGGGUGACCGGCCACAUUGGGACUGAGAUACGGCCCAGACUCCUACGGGAGGCAGCAGUGGGGAAUAUUGCACAAUGGGCGGAAGCCUGAUGCAGCAACGCCGCGUGCGGGAUGACGGCCUUCGGGUUGUAAACCGCUUUCGCCUGUGACGAAGCGUGAGUGACGGUAAUGGGUAAAGAAGCACCGGCUAACUACGUG
rnacentral:rRNA from 1 species